rnacentral:rRNA from 1 species
ACUCCUGCGGGAGGCAGCAGUGGGGAAUAUUGGACAAUGGGCGCAAGCCUGAUCCAGCCAUGCCGCGUGAGUGAUGAAGGCCCUAGGGUUGUAAAGCUCUUUCACCGGUGAAGAUAAUGACGGUAACCGGAGAAGAAGCCCCGGCUAACUUCGUGCCAGCAGCCGCGGUAAUACGAAGGGGGCUAGCGUUGUUCGGAUUUACUGGGCGUAAAGCGCACGUAGGCGGACUAUUAAGUCAGGGGUGAAAUCCCGGGGCUCAACCCCGGAACUGCCUUUGAUACUGGUAGUCUUGAGUUCGAGAGAGGUGAGUGGAAUUCCGAGUGUAGAGGUGAAAUUCGUAGAUAUUCGGAGGAACACCAGUGGCGAAGGCGGCUCACUGGCUCGAUACUGACGCUGAGGUGCGAAAGCGUGGGGAGCAAACAGGAUUAGAAACCCUGGUAGUCCC